rnacentral:rRNA from 1 species
UAGGGAAUCUUCCACAAUGGACGCAAGUCUGAUGGAGCAACGCCGCGUGAGUGAAGAAGGCUUUCGGGUCGUAAAACUCUGUUAUUGAAGAAGAACGUGUGUGACAGUAACUGGUCAUGCAGUGACGGUAUUCAAUCAGAAAGUCACGGCUAACUACGUGCCAGCAGCCGCGGUAAUACGUAGGUGGCAAGCGUUGUCCGGAUUUAUUGGGCGUAAAGCGAGUGCAGGCGGUCUUUUAAGUCUGAUGUGAAAGCCUUCGGCUUAACCGAAGAAGGGCAUCGGAAACUGGGAGACUUGAGUGCAGAAGAGGAGAGUGGAACUCCAUGUGUAGCGGUGAAAUGCGUAGAUAUAUGGAAGAACACCAGUGGCGAAGGCGGCUCUCUGGUCUGUAACUGACGCUGAGGCUCGAAAGNGUGGGUAGCAAACAG